rnacentral:rRNA from 1 species
GACGAACGCUGGCGGCGUGCUUAACACAUGCAAGUCGAACGGAAAGGCCCUGCUUUUGUGGGGUGCUCGAGUGGCGAACGGGUGAGUAACACGUGAGUAACCUGCCCUUGACUUUGGGAUAACUUCAGGAAACUGGGGCUAAUACCGGAUAGGAGCUCCUGCUGCAUGGUGGGGGUUGGAAAGUUUCGGCGGUUGGGGAUGGACUCGCGGCUUAUCAGCUUGUUGGUGGGGUAGUGGCUUACCAAGGCUUUGACGGGUAGCCGGCCUGAGCGGGUGACCGGCCACAUUGGGACGGAGAUACGGCCCAGACUCCUACGGGAGGCAGCAGUGGGGAAUAUUGCACAAUGGGCGGAAGCCUGAUGCAGCAACGCCGCGUGCGGGAUGACGGCCUUCGGGUUGUAAACCGCUUUCGCCUGUGACGAAGCGUGAGUGACGGUAAUGGGUAAAGAAGCACCGGCUAACUACGUG